UUUCCGUAGGUGAACCUGCGGAAGGAUCAUUAUUGUAUAACCGAGGUGCGAGGGCUGUCGCUGACCCGAAAGCACGUGCACGCCCGAGUGUCCUCACACACUUCUAUCUCACCCCUAUGUGCACCACCGCGUGGGUCCCCCUUUGGCUUGUUCGGAGGGGGGCUUACGUUUUUACACAAUCUUUGUAUGCAGUGUAGAAUGUAUUUUUUGUUUUUGCGAUCACGCAAUCAAUACAACUUUCAACAACGGAUCUCUUGGCUCUC
rnacentral:misc_RNA from 1 species